rnacentral:rRNA from 1 species
AAAAGAAACCAACAGGGAUUGCCUCAGUAACGGCGAGUGANGCGGCAACAGCUCAAAUUUGAAAUCUGGCGCUUUCAGCGUCCGAGUUGUAAUUUGUAGAGGAUGUUUCGGCCACGACCACCGGUUAAAUUUCUUGGAACAGAAUGUCAUAGAGGGUGAGAACCCCGUCUUGACCGGUGUGUACGGGCCGUGUGGAACACCUUCGACGAGUCGAGUUGUUUGGGAAUGCAGCUCAAAAUGGGUGGUAAAUUUCAUCUAAAGCUAAAUAUUGGCCAGAGACCGAUAGCGCACAAGUAGAGUGAUCGAAAGAUGAAAAGCACUUUGAAAAGAGAGUUAAACAGUAUGUGAAAUUGUUGAAAGGGAAGCGCUGGCAACCAGACUUGAGGGCGGCAGUUCCCCGGGGCUUUUGCCCCGGUUACUCUGUCGUGUCCAGGCCAACAUCGGUUUCGGGGGUCGGUUAAAGGCCCUGGGAAUGUAUCUACCCUUCGGGGUCGACUUAUAGCCCAGGGUGUCAUGCGACCUCCCGGGACCGAGGAACGCG